ACGUAGGCGGAUUGGAAGUUGGGGGUGAAUCCCGGGGCUCAACCCCGGAACUGCCUCCAAAACUAUCAGUCUAGAGUUCGAGAGAGGUGAGUGGAAUUCCAAGUGUAGAGGUGAAAUUCGUAGAUAUUUGGAGGAACACCAGUGGCGAAGGCGGCUCACUGGCUCGAUACUGACA
rnacentral:rRNA from 1 species